GGUGAAUGUAUAGAGGGAUCGAGAGAGAUAGAGAGGCGGCAAGGGAUGAACGUUCGUAUGCAUCGUGCACGAUCAGGGCCCUCUGGCGUAUUCAAAGCGCGCAGCGUCGCUCCAUCUCGAGGAAUGCGGCAAUCGAUUAUCACGGUCCUGCAUAUCGAUACUACCGUCGGACACAGGGCCGCGCGGCGCAGAACCGCGCGCGUCGAGCCGGAGACAGCGGCGAAGAGAGAGCGAAAGAGAGGGAGAGAGAGAGAGAGAGGAGGAGGAGGAGAAAGAGAAAGCAUUGGGGGACGCCACACGCUAGACAGGGUGCAAGGGUGUCCGCUUAGCGCCGCUCUCCGCUAUCCUGGCCACACACGCACACGCGGCCGACUAAUGACAUCGGCUCCUCUAUAAUACUCGUGCCUCGAAUAUCAUCGGCCCGAUAUUGCCACCGCGAGAGAUUAAUGUUUCGUCCUAACCCAUCCCUUCCUCCCUCACGCUCUGCAUCGCUCUUUGCUGCUCCGUUCUUUUCCGCGUGUAUCCCUUUCUCCUGAUGGCUGUCGACAGUUCUUUAACGACACUUGCCUAUGUUGGGCGCGUGUCCUACUCAGACUUCUCGUAAUCAUGGCGAACCCUAUCGUCAAAUCGUUCGCUACGAUCGUGAUGUUCGUGCAAACGAGUCGAGGGUAAUCGAAAUUGUGGCGUCGCCCUUUCCUUUUCUAUAAAGCAAUUCGUUUCGCGCGAAAAGAAAAAUGUUAGCAUCGAAGCGUCUGUCGUCGUCCGAUCCGAUAAACGUCGAAGCUAGACCCUGCCACUCUGGAAACUUGGAGACGAGUGGAGUUUCGGGGCACGGCGAGAUGGUAGUUCGUCCGCGACAAGCGGCUAGAACGAUAAUGGCGGCUAUUAACGAGCCGUAUCGGGCGUGAAGACACCUGAGCCCAAAAUAUCACCCCGAUUAAUGCAAUUACAGCUUACAAGUCCCU
rnacentral:misc_RNA from 1 species